ensembl:snoRNA
CUGCAAGCCUCCAGCGUGUCUGGGUCUGGAGUGACCUUGUGCAUUCCUUCAAUGCUUGCAAGAACAGUUUUGAAACGGUUUGAGGCCUUCCUCUGCACCAUCUCCAGAGCAAGGUUAUAGAAAUUUCAGACAAAC